rnacentral:rRNA from 1 species
UACGUAGGUGGCAAGCGUUGUCCGGAAUUAUUGGGCGUAAAGCGCGCGCAGGCGGUCCCUUAAGUCUGAUGUGAAAGCCCACGGCUCAACCGUGGAGGGUCAUUGGAAACUGGGGGACUUGAGUACAGAAGAGGAAAGCGGAAUUCCACGUGUAGCGGUGAAAUGCGUAGAGAUGUGGAGGAACAACAGUGGCGAAGGCGGCUUUCUGGUCUGUAACUGACGCUGAGGCGCGAAAGCGUGGGGAGCAAACAGG